rnacentral:misc_RNA from 1 species
AAAAAAGAAAACCCUCAGCUUAGCUCCCUAAUCUUUCAGAACUCAUCAUCCAUUGCUGAGCUCGAGCUCGUCGUUUCGCUGUGCUUGUCGUGCGGAUUUGAGUGUUGGUUGAAGAUUCAAUACUUGUUCUAGCUUGUGUUUGUGUAUUGAAAGACACUGAGAUUUGCGUGGCAAUUGGAUUCUGAUUUUGUGAUUUAUUUUAAAAAUUGAUGGAACAAAGUGAAGCGGUUUCUGAUUUUGCGCCAAAAAAAUUGGCGCGGCAGUUGGAUUUUUCGGCAAUUUGUAGAGCAUCAGCGAAUGUGGUUUUGCCGCCGUCGCAGGCGCCACAAUCACAUCUGAGGUUACAGACACAUGCACCGCAGCCGCCACCCCAACAGGUUCAACCGCAGCCUCUAUUGCAUUUACAAUUACAAACGCCACCGAAGCAGUCGCAGGCAAUUCCGCAAUUGCAUGCCCUGCCACAGCAAGUGCCGGUGGUGCGUCGGAUUCCUCACCCCGUGCAGAUACUUCCGCUGCCAACAAUGCCGCUGGCCAAGCAAGAGUCUCCUGGACCACGUCCAAGAAAGAAUGUUGAAGCAAAAGAUGGUACUCCUAAGAAACCAAAGCAAUGUAAUUGCAAAAAUUCGCGAUGCUUGAAGUUGUAUUGCGAGUGCUUUGCUGCUGGAAUUUAUUGUAACGGUUGCAAUUGCUUAAAUUGUUGCAAUAAUGUGGCAAAUGAGAAGGCUAGGCAAGAGGCUGUUGGAGCUACCUUAGAGCGCAAUCCAAAUGCUUUUAGACCUAAGAUUGCUAGCAGCCCGCAAUCUCCGGAUACAAGAGUAUGUAUUACUCUCCUCUGAUUUUGAAUCAAUAAUGUCUAUUUGAUAAUAUCACUAGUAUAUGAUUUGAUCAAAUAGUGAGUAGUCACUGUUGUUUGACUUUCAAUAACUAAAAUUAACUGCUUAAGCAUGAUUCUCUUAAAAAGAAAACAGGAAAAAAGGCAUAUAUACUACAAGUACCUUUUAUUAAGUUCUUCUAGUGGGUUUUGGCAUAUGGCAAAGAUUCCAUUUCCAAUCAGUGGCUCGGCACAAGGAAUAUUGACCUUGCUGAGAAUUUUGUCCCAUGUGGAUCAAGGAUGAACAUAUGGAGUUGCUUAUAAUUGGGAAAGUAUGGGCUCUAGCACAAGCCAAUUGGCUAAUGAUGGAACAUGUGGUAUUAUUUGUUGGAAAAAAAAAUGGCUUCUGCUAGAGCUCAUAUUUUCUACUUAUAAGGCACUCCACAUGUUCAUAUUUAAUACAUGGCAAACAAUAUUCUCAACAGACCUAAUAUUGAGUUAUCUCUGUUCCUUCAAGGUAGAUGUUAUAAAGCCUUGCAUCAUUAGUGAUGCCUGUGCUUUCUAGACAUUUCUUCUUUAACUUAUUUUUUCUCGCUGAAGCAAGGCAUUGGAUAUAGCAAUUUGUUCGUCACUGCAAAAGAAGCUAGAAAAAGAAGUGAGAGGUGUAUUAAUUCUUUGCACAAAAAUGAACUUAGCAACUUAUUUGAAUUUCGUACUUUUGUUCUCGAUUCUCAUUUUGACUUGCAUGCAUUUACAAUGUCAUAAAAAUAAAUCCAGGAAGAUGCAAGGGAAGCUCAAAUGAUAGGUAAGCACAAUAAAGGAUGCCACUGCAAGAAAUCAGGAUGCCUCAAGAAGUACUGUGAAUGCUUCCAAGCCAAUAUUUUGUGCUCUGACAAUUGUAAGUGCAUGGACUGCAAGAAUUCUGAAGGAAGUGAAGAAAGGAGAUCUCUCUUUCAUGGCAAUCAUAAUGGCAUAGCCUGCAUGCGACGGCCAGCAAAUGCAGACGUUAGUGGGGCCAUUGGAUCAUCUGGCUAUGGGACCCCUAUAGAAUCCAAGAAGAGGAAAAGAGAGGAAUUCUUAGGCAGUGUUACUAAAGAUCAAUCAGCAAAAUACCAACAGGAAAAUCAUGUGAGGAAUUCUGCAGCUUCUUCUUCUCCCUUAUCUGCCGCUGUUUCUCAUUCUGCUAAUGCAACUGUAUUGGGAUCUUCAAAGUUCACAUACAAGUCUCCUUUGGCAGGCAUACUUCAACCACAGGAUGUGAAGGAGAUAUGCUCGCUCUUGGUCGUACUUUCACAAGAAGCUAAAAAGGCACUUGCAGGGAAAAUGGAUAGGCAACCGGAGAGAGAAAACAAUCAUUAUUUUGAACCUACUUCUGCUUCAUCCGUACAUGGGAGGGAAGAUAGUGUAAAUGGUCCUGAUAUCCAUAGAACUUUGGCUGAUGAUUGCGUAAAUGGGAACAAAGCAGGAAGAGAGAGAAACAAUGAUUCAAGAACUGGAGAUGAUCUUGCAAAUGGAAGGCCAGCAUCACCAGAAAUUGAUUUGAUGUGCCAUGAACAAGAAAUGGUAUUUAUGGAAGCUGGGCUAACCACUGGGAUGGGAGGACUGUGUCAAAACAAAACUCAGAUAUCAUCUAAUGGGCAUGAGUACUCAGAGGUUUAUGCUGAGCAAGAAAAGCUCAUCUUGACCAGGUUCCGGGAUUUUCUCAAUAGGCUUGUCACUUGUGGGAGCAUUAAAGAAACAAUGUACUCUCCAUCAGCCAAGAGUAACAUGGGGAACCAACAAGAACCGGCAGAUAGAUUGAUCAUAUGUGCUGAAACUGAAAUAGGAAACCACAAGAAGGCAUACAGUAAUGGCGAUGCGAAAUCUUCUGUAGUCGUAACUUCUGCUUCUAAUGGUAUUCUGCCUAUAUUGUCUGCAUUGCCUGUUAAAAAUGAAGAGAUUAAUCCAGAAAAGAAGAGCUAAGAGGAAAAUAGUUCAAAAUAGCAUCUUUUAUCUGUGCAAUAAAAUGAAGUAACUGUUUCGAGCUAUUCUUGAUGCGAUAAGAAGUCCUUUGGUUGAAAAUGUGCUUAUUGAGGAAUUAAUUUCUGAUUAUAUAAAGUAAUUCUUUUAGAUAGUUACUAUAUGUGCUGGUAUACGAGGCGUCUAGUGAUAUUUCAAUUAAUUGUAAAUUCUUAUUUAAAUGUUUAAAUAUUUCUACUUAACUAGAUAGUAGAUGGAACAUAUAUGCCCCCAUUGUAGCUAUAUUAAACUGAGCCGUUUAUAAUUUAUUUACUUCUACAUGUAGAUGGCUAUUUUAUAUUUUUCACAGCUUUGUACAAGUGGAGAUU